UCGCAUCUCUUUAUCUAACCCUUGGCCAAAAUAUGGCGGUGUUUCUUCCCUUUCCCAUAUUUUUAGUCAUCCAUAUUAUAGUUCUCUCUCUCUCUUACACUUAACUAUUGCAUUUUAUGCUAACUAUGACAGAUCCUUUCUUCAACUACUUCAACCCCUCCAUGAACCACUUCACUCCUUACACCUUCACUUGUCAUAAUUCCUCUCCGCCGCCGACGGAGGCACUCCCCCUCCUCAGUUUAGAGCCGUCCGAUCACCAAGAAUCCUCUUAUAGUGCUAUGGAACUAGACGGCGACAACGACAACGACAACAACAACAAUGACAACAAAGGGUUGAGAGUCAGUCUCAGCUUAGGGCUACCCUUCACCGAUUCAGAUCCAACCUCCGGCCUAUCCUCCUCCGCCUCCUCUGCCGCCGCCAAUGAAGAGAUAAGCUGUAAAGAAGAAGUCACUGUGGCUAACACAAACCCUCUCAACAAGGGGCAGUACUGGAUCCCCACACCCUCUCAGAUUUUGAUCGGACCUACCCAGUUUUCUUGCCCUCUUUGCUUCAAGACUUUCAAUAGAUACAAUAACAUGCAGAUGCAUAUGUGGGGACACGGUUCACAAUACCGAAGAGGAGCGGAAUCUCUAAGGGGCGCGCAACCAACGGCAAUGCUAAGGCUUCCGUGUUAUUGCUGCGCGGGUGGGUGCAGGAACAACAUAGACCAUCCGCGAGCCAAGCCCCUCAAAGAUUUCCGAACCCUCCAAACGCACUACAAGAGGAAGCAUGGGAUAAAGCCCUUCGUAUGCAGGAAAUGCGCCAAGGCCUUCGCGGUCAGGGGCGACUGGAGAACGCACGAGAAGAACUGUGGCAAGCUGUGGUAUUGCACGUGCGGAUCCGAUUUCAAGCACAAGAGGUCGCUCAAGGACCACAUUAAGGCCUUCGGGAAUGGCCACGGCGCUUACGGGGUCCAUUGUUUCCAAGAGGAGGAUGUCGCGUCUCAAAUCGACCAUCAUAAUGAGUCUUCUAGCUAGAGGAACAAAAUUUAGCCAUAUGGAUCGGAGGAGAUUGAAAAGAUUUUCGAGUGCGAAUCAGUAUAUGAACGAAUCCACGCAGAGGGGUAAAAUAGGAAAUGGACCCCAACCCCAACCCCAACCCCGACCUAUCUUCCCAAGGCUCCCUCGGCUCUAUGUCAGCCGGGGGCGUCUCCACCGACACGCCAAAGACAGUUUUGGAAACGCCACGGGACCCCAUAGACGACUUCCACUCGUCGGGUUCGGAGCCUACCGACAACAACUCAUCUCGAGUUUCCGUGGACACUAUCCCGGCGGUGGGAGGGGCAUUGGCAGACGCUGUGGGGGUGCACUUUGUUAAAACGGUGAAGGCUCACUCGAUGGUUUUGAAAUUUUUUCCAAAAGAGCGACCGCCUACGUCCACGACCUGAUGAUGAAUGAGGGACUUCAAUUCGGAAUUUAUCCGCCGCCAGCACGUGGAGGAGAUGACGCAGGAGUCGGCGGAUCCUGGAUCAGGCGCGGACUCGGCGUCGAAGAGUGAGGCUUUGGAGCGCACCUUGAAGCGGAAGGAGCGUGACACUGACAACUGAUCAGCAACUAUGUUAUCUUUUAUUAGGAUUUUCUGGGUGUUUGACUGCAUGACUGAGCAACUAUGUUUUCUUUUAUUAGGAUUUUCUGGGUGUUUGUUUGACUACAUGACUGAAUGCAUUUGUCUUGGUAUUUGAAAGUUUCCUUAAAAUUU